rnacentral:rRNA from 1 species
GACGAACGCUGGCGGCGUGCUUAACACAUGCAAGUCGAGCGGUAAGGCCCUUUCGGGGGUACACGAGCGGCGAACGGGUGAGUAACACGUGGGUGACCUGCCCUUAGCUCUGGGAUAAGCCUGGGAAACUGGGUCUAAUACCGGAUAUGACUCCAUAACGCAUGUUGUGGGGUGGAAAGCCUUGUGCGGCUAGGGAUGGGCCCGCGGCCUAUCAGCUUGUUGGUGGGGUGAUGGCCACCAAGGCGACGACGGGUAGCCGGCCUGAGAGGGCGACCGGCCACACUGGGACUGAGACACGGCCCAGACUCCUACGGGAGGCAGCAGGUGGGGAAUCUUGCGCAAUGGGCGAAAGCCUGACGCAGCGACGCCGCGUGGGGAUGAC